GGUUCCGUAGUGUAGUGCGAGUUAUCACGUUCGGUUCUACAUAUGAAAGGUCUCCGGUUCGAUCCCGGACGGAAACU